rnacentral:tRNA from 1 species
GCGGCCGUAGUCUAGCUUGGUUAGGACGCUGGCCUCCCAAGCCGGUGACCCGGGUUCAAAUCUCGGCGGCCGCA